CCGAGGCCAGCGCAUCAGCUCUCAGCUGGGGGGCCUCCAGGGACGGUCCGCCCCUCCCCGCCCCGCAGUCCUCAGGGACAAAGAGGCAGGGGGGCCGCUUCCGCUCCAGCCGCCCCGACUCGAGACGCUGAGGCAGCUCUCAGGCGUGCCCCAACCUAGGGCUGCGAGCGACUAGCUCCGGGCUUCUCCCACCCAGGGACCGGAGGCCUCCGUGGGUCGGUCUCCCUUGCUCUCUGCUGGCUGCUGUGAUGCCCAGGACACGUGAGGUCAGGUUGGGGCCCCGAGCCCAGCACCCUGCCCGUCCAGCACUGUGGGCCCCACCCACUGCAUGGCUGGAAAACAGCCCAGAGCUUAGGGUGGGCCUGAAACCAGGUGUCCUGUCCAACAAGGAGGAACCUACCUUCAAGUACCAGCCGAUGAAGUGUGCAGGCACGAAGCCGUCCAGCUUGUCCUGUGGGGGCAGGUGCAGGCCUCAUGCUUGGUUCCCCAAUGCGAGCUGGGAGGGGACCCUGCCACCGCCAGAGGCACCCUCACACUCUGUUCGGGCUCCAGACCCCACACAGAGAAGCGGCAUCGUGGGGUGUGCCUCUUCACACGGUGCCUGGGCAGCCUCUCCUGACAUGAAGGUGCCAGCGUCAGCCAAACAUGUCUCUAGACCCAGCACAGAGACUCUGGGUGUCACCCCAGUGGGGGAGGACCCCCAGCAAGAGAGCCCUGUGCCUCCCUCUGCCCCACUGGCCACCAGCUGGGGCCCCAGACACCUGUCAUCAGGACCCCGAGUACCGGCCAAGGGACACACGGGAGGAGGUUCCAGGCGGGGUGACGAGAUGAGGUCUGUGGUGUGCGGACAGAUGACACCCAGACCUGCGUCUUGUCACACGACUGAGGUGGUGGCACGAACAACUGCCACGUCCCCACACGUGCUCUGGGAACCUGGGAUCUGAGGGCCAGGAAGCAGGGCAGCGGCUGUCAGCAGUGCGUCCCGAGUCAGCGUGGCCCCCGGACUCUGAGCCCCGACGCUCAGGCCUCAGAAGGGAGCAGCGCAAGCGUACCAAGACUCUGUCUCAGGGCAUCCGAGGAAGUCGCUGCCGCCCCAGCCUCGGGCUCAUCGACCAAGCCCAGAGGCCAGACCAGGAACCUCCCCUCCAGUGGGGGCUGAGGAGGCCGACCGGCCCCUGGACUCUGGGACAGGGCAGCAGCCGGGCGGGAGAGCUGCACACAAAGGGCAGGACCCACAUGGCUCAUGGUGCUGACUGACAGGGCCCACACCUAGGUUCCUGAGCCAUUCUAAAGAAACCAGGCUCCCUGGAGAAAUGGUUGACUCCAGGGCUGGGGCAGGGGCCCAGGAUGGGCCUGGGCGCGGGUAUCUUCCAGCACCAAAAGGAGGGGGGUGCUCAGAAACAGGAAACAGAACACCAAGACCCCACACAGAAGGGGCUCGUGAGCGCUCCCAGCCACCAAGCCUGGACGCUGUGAGCACAGAUCAGAUACUGACUCAUAACCCUGAGGAGGAAGCAGAUGACCGCGGGGGGCGCUGAUGUCAGAACCGAGCUGGGGAGAAGGCGCCCCCACAGGCUUUCCACAGGGCGGUGGAGCUGCUCCCACUCCUGCGGGGGCCUCCCUCCUGAGGGCCGCGGCGGGGAACCCGACAGACACGCCUGCCAGGGAUAUGGACCUUCACCAGCGGCCAGGAUGUGCAUCGGAGCCUGAAAGGACACCAGUCACACCCGCUGCAACCCUGGCAACAAAGCCAGAAAAGCACACGCCAGGCCAACUACAGACGGCGCCCCUCAUGAAGACAGUCGCAAAAAACCCCGGCAGAAUCCUGGGCAAGUCAGUCGGCAGCAUACACGAGGGCCGUACCCCAUGACCCAGCGGGUUCAUCCCAGUGCUGAGCUGGUUCAAAAUAAGGGAAUGAAUUAACACGUCAUGUUAAUAAAGGGGAAAACCCACAAGACCAUGUCAUCUGAUGCAAAAAAAAGAGCAUACAACCAACAAAAUUCAACAGCCUCUCAUGAUAAAAACACUCAACAAAUUAGGAAGAAUGGAACUUCCUCCACUAAUAAAGGGCAUCUAAUGAGGCUCCCUACUGAGAAGUUGGGGGUGGGAAGGCUGGUGCCGGGCAGUGAGGCCAGAGAUGGACAGACACUCAGGCUGGCGAGGAAGACGUGAGCCCCCGCAUUCCUGCAGAGACCCCCUCAGAAGCCCCCUCAACAGCAGCAGAGCUGUGAGAGUGAACGAGUCAGGCGCAGCUGACAGCACAGAGCAAACAGGCUGUGCUUCCAGACGCCCAGACCAGCAGAGCCACAUGGAGCCGAGAUGAGCCCGCUGAGGACAGCACCAGGAGAGAGACACUUAGGGACAUACUCUGAAAACCACAAAGCGCCGCUGGGAGCAGUCAGAGACCCAUGUGCAGGGAGAGUGCGGCGCCACAGAGAGGAGGGUAAGCGAGAGGAGGUGUGGGCUUCACCCAAUGACCAACUGCAACAGCCGAUUCACACAGCGUAAGGUGUUCGUAACAGGAGGAAGCUGGUGAAGGGCUAGCAGGGCCUCUCUGCUUUGAGAUACAGUUUCUUUUAAAUAAAUAGAAUGUGGACCGUUAAUAAAAAUCAACCAGAACAAAAACUCGUCUCCCCAAGACAUACCGAUGUCCACAAACACGUGUCACGAGCAGUCGGGGGCCUGCAAGCAAACCGCGGGAGCCACACCACCACCUCACGCCAAGAGCUGGGGGUGCGGAGACACGGAGCUGCGGCGGCUGGCGGGGCUGUGAUGUGGGCACGGCCGCCGUGGAGCGCGGUCUGGCGGCUGCUUAGAGGCUGACCAGGGCUCCUCAGCUGUCCCACUUCCAGGUGUGUCCUCGGGAAGGGAAGGCAGGGCUGCACAGACACUCACACGCCCACAUCCACAGCAGCGUCACACAGUCGCCAAAAGUAGAGGCAACCCAAGAGCCCGCUCAGCGCCAGUGAGCGCACAGGCGUGGCAUAAGCACCACGGGCGCUGCUCAGCCUCCAAGAGGCAGGAAACCCUGACAGAGGCUGCAGCGCGGAUGGACCUCGGGGACGCGCUGCUCAGAGAAGCAACCCAGCCACAGAGGGACCGGUGCUGACUGGCUCCCCCAGAGGACGUCCUGCAGGGGUCGCAUCCGUAGACACAGGACGUGGACGGAGGCCAGGGGCUGGGGCCGCGGCGGGAGGGCAGUGAGUGUCCGUUUGGGAAGAUGAGCAGGUUCUGGGGACGAUGGUGGGGAAGGUAACACAGGCUGGUGAAUGCUCUAGGGCCCCAAGCUGGAAAUGGCUGAGAUGGUAAAUUUUAUGUUAUGGAAUUUUUUUUUACUAUAAUUAAAAAAUAUUUUUAAUUAAAUGCACUGCAAUAAACCUCCCCCAAACUGUA